GUGCCCACGAAGCUUGAGAAGCAGUCCCCUGAAAUACUCGAGAAAAAGAAAAUUGGAUGCAGAGGAGAGUGAUGAAACACAACGGCAAGAUAGUGAUGACGAUCCAGGGACUCCAUGAAAGCCAGGCGCACUGCUUUCAGAUUGGGAAGCCAAGAGUAACUUUGGUGGGCGUGAUGAGCUCUGGCCAUGCUUUCCACGCAGCAGAAAUGGAAGUGCCUCUCUACACGGGCGUCUGUGCUACAGAAACACUCCCUAAGUGUGUCCUCUCCACAAAGAUCGUUCACCACAGUGCUGUUUGUAACAACCGGAAAUGACUUAUUGCAACUGAACAUUUCAAAUGUCCCUCAGGAACAGGUUGGUUAAAAAAUAAACCAUUUGUACAAGGAAAUAUGAUGCAUCAAGUGAAAAGAAAAAGAAUAAAGUGGAUCCAGUUGUACUGACGUAGAAAGAUAGCCACAAUUUAUCGUUAAGCACAAAAUCAAGUUGUGAAACGGUACGAAAAAUGUGAUUCCAUUUUUGAUUAAAAAC
rnacentral:lncRNA from 1 species